rnacentral:rRNA from 1 species
UACGUAGGGUCCAAGCGUUGUCCGGAUUUAUUGGGCGUAAAGAGCUCGUAGGCGGCUCGGUAAGUCGGAUGUGAAACCUCCAGGCUCAACCUGGAGUCGCCAUCCGAUACUGCUGUGGCUUGAGUCCGGUAGGGGAGCAUGGAAUUCCUGGUGUAGCGGUGAAAUGCGCAGAUAUCAGGAGGAACACCGAUUGCGAAGGCAGCUCGCUGGAACGUUACUGACGCUGAGACGCGAAAGCGUGGGGAGCAAACAGG